CAAUCAGUCUUUGUAAAAAUGGACUUCUAGGAGGUGAAAGUCCCUUCUGAUGCAGCAGGCUCAGUGGGAACCUGAAGAGUGAGUGAGCUUUGGAACUGGCUCUGCAAGAUAAAGCUAACAUUUGCCCUCUGAACUUCUCUCUCCAAACACCACCUUGCUCUUUGCUCCACUUGUCAUUGGUAUACCAGCCAAAGGUACAGUAAGCCAGCAGAGUAGAAAGGGACAGUUAGCUUCCACAUGACAGAAAAUACUUGAUAUUUAUCUCUGUGAGCCUACCUGUUCCACUGAUGAUCCCAUCCAGUUCUAUACAUUUUCCUGGUAAACCCAUGGAUCCCAUAAAUCACAAAGGCCAACUACAAGAAAGGAGUGGGGUCCUCCCUCACCCCAAUUAUAGAAGCAGACCCCUCCUCUUCUGUCUUCUUCAGCCCACUUACUUAAACAUGUGGCCAGUCAAAGGACAAGGAAUGUGUCCAGUCUCUUCUUCCCAUGGACAAGUCUCUUAACUUCUUUGAUGCUUUGGAGGAAGAUGUGUUGGAGUGGAGGUAAAGGCAGUUGGAGGCCGUGGAGGCAGAUAUGGUCAAUAUAUAUUGUAUAUAUGAAUGCAAUUCUCAAAGGAAAAAAAACCUGUUGGCACAGAUAUGGGAAGGGGUAACUGUUCUGCAUGGUUGGUAGGACUCUUGAUUGGUACAGCCAUUAUGGAAAACUGUAUGGAUACUUUAAAAGAAAUUAAAAAAACAGAAUUAUGUUA